AAAGAUUUUAGUUGAAGUUAUACGAGUUUUUAAGGAUGCUUUUACGAUUUCAGUGACAGAUUAACAAGAUUUCUAUAUUAUCAUCAGGAGAAACAUCCUUGGGAACCUGACAAAUAAUCUCAGUGGUGAAAGAGCAAAGCCCCCCAAGUCUUCAUCUGAGGCCAAGCUGUUUGUGUUUCCGUGUCUCAUAAGAAGGAAGGUGUGGGAGUGGCGGGAACUCGCGUAGCGGGAAAAAACCAUUGUAUUAUCAACUCUUGUGCUGCGAAGACGAAGUGUCACGGUAUUUCUCCAUGGGCAGUGGCUUUGCUGGGUGACUGUCCUCCUAUCUGCAGCAAAGAUCGGUUAGUCCCAGAGAGAGAGAGAAAAAAAAAAGAGAGAGAGAGAGAGAGAGAGGGAGGGAGAGGGACCCCACUCAAAUGCUACCAGGUGAGUGUGAUCCCCAC